GAAGACUGUGUAGAAGAAAUGGACCUGGGUGUGUUCAUUGACACUUGGCUGAACAUGAGCCAGCAGUGUGCCCAGGUGGCUAAGAAGGCCAAUGGUGUCCUGACCUGUAUUAGAAAUAGUGCAGCCAUCAGGAGCAAGGAGGUGAUCAUCUGUCUGUACUCUGCACUGAUGAGGCCACACCUUGAGUACUGUGUUCACUUUGGGGACUCUCACUAUAAGAAAGACACUGAGGACCUGGAGGGUGUCCAGGUUUGGGCGAUGAAGCUGUGAAGAGUCUGAAAUGCAAGUAUUAUAGGGAGCAGCUGAGGGAACUAGGGUUCUUUAGUCUGGAGAAAAGGAGAUUCAGGGGAGACCUUAUCUCUCUCUACAGCAACUGGAAAGGAGACCGUAGUGAGAUGGAGGUCAACCUCUGUUCUUAGAUAACAGUGACAGGACGAGAGGAAAUGGCCUCAAGUUGCUCCAGGGGAUGUUCAGGUUGGAUAUUAGGAAGAAUUUCAUCUCACAAGGAGUGGUGAGGCACUGGAAUGGGCUGCCCAGCGUAUGACACCUGUCAGUUGACUUCAAUGACUGCUCACCACUUCUUCGUGUUCUGCACCUCCCACAAGUCAGCUCCACAGAUGUGUCAGGAAUGCUUCCUGAUGCAUUGUAACAAAUGUGCAGGUGAGGUCAGAAGCUAUUUAUUUCUUCUGUUCAAGUAUUUGUGCUGAUUUGGCACUAAUGACUCAAUCUCUUUGCUGCCAUCCAUCAGUAAGACACACCGGGCUAUGCGGCGUUCUUUGUUUUUAGAGGUAUGAAGUUGCAGUCCAUCACUUCCACACUGUUGCUGUGGCCCUGUGAACUCCUCUGAAUGAAAAACUCUUCAGUAUCACUCAGAAAUAUGAGGUUUAGGUUCAUCAGCUCCUUGUUGGCUUGUGACUAAAGGCCACAAUCAGUGUGGAGAAUGUGGGGCCCUUCUGCUCCACACAUAUUUUCCAUAGUAGUUCCAUAUUUUCCUCCAAUUUACAAAGCAUUUCCAAAGGUGGAGAGCAAGAAGUGCACUGCCUACCUCCUGCAUCACCCACAACAGACCUUCCCACAGCACCAAAGGGAGAGCAGGGAGGUCGUUGGCUUGAAAUGAAUUGCACUGCCAACCUGUAAGGUGCAUUUGGGUUCACCGAGUUUUCCCUGUAUUUAAGUUUUACUCAUCUGAAAUUAAGCUAAUUAUACGUUUUCUUUAAUUUUCUCCUGUAACUCCUCUUUAUUUGAACAGCACUCAUUAGAUGUUUGAUUAUGGUCUAAAGUUACAUCGACUUUCACCCCAAAUCUGCUGUCCAUUCAGAAAAGAGGCAGAAGGAGAUGGGCUGGGUUAGUCUAGGGAGAGUUGGAUGGAGAAGAUAGUAAGAGGCUCCAUCAGUGCUCCCCAACUAAGUGACACUGAAGUGCCACAUGGAGGAAGUACUUUUUGGGGCGCUAUCAACAGCCUAAAACUGUACUGGUACAUCCUUUUCUCUGGGUUAACCCUGGUCUCUUCUGUGCCACAGUGUGAAAGGUCUGAAGUAUCUCAGCCACUGUGUUAUGCUGACAGCACCCUUACCAGAGGAAUGCUGUUCUGCUCUCCUGUGAAGGAAGAAGGGAAUAGGAGCUCUCAUAAGAGCAUUUCUUGUGCUUCAAGUUCUUUGUAAGAGAAAACAUAGCUAAUUUUAGUUUAAAUGGAUGUUAAUUUGACGUGUGGAUUUGAAUAACUGAGAUAAAUUCUUGGCUUUUUGGCAUUAUAAUAUAUUAAAUGACAAAUGCUUUUUGAAUACUGAAAGGUUCUUUCUCUCUCCAGCACCUAAUGAUAAAGCUGUAAGGCGUAAGUCUCCUGGAUUUGCAGGAAGUUGCACAGAAUGGUCCAAUAGGUCAUCUUCAUCUCUGGCUUAUGUGGUAAUAAAGGAAUAAUAAAAACGAAGGUUGCAAAGCA